rnacentral:rRNA from 1 species
UACGGAGGGUGCAAACGUUGCUCGGAAUCAUUGGGCGUAAAGCGCACGUAGGCGGCCUGUUAAGUCGGGUGUGAAAUCCCUGGGCUCAACCCAGGAAGUGCACUCGAAACUGGCAGGCUUGAGUACUGAAGAGGGUCGCGGAAUUCCCGGUGUAGAGGUGAAAUUCGUAGAUAUCGGGAGGAACACCAGUGGCGAAGGCGGCGACCUGGGCAGAUACUGACACUGAGGUGCGAAAGCCAGGGGAGCAAACGGG